UUUUUGAUGACGCUGGCGGCAGGCUUAACACAUGCAAGUCGAGCGGAAACGAUGGUAGCUUGCUACCAGGCGUCGAGCGGCGGACGGGUGAGUAAUACUUACAGAAUCUACCUAGUAGUGGGGGAUAGCACGGGGAAACUCGAAUUAAUACCGCAUACGACCUACGGGAGAAAGGGGGCAGUUUACUGCUCUCGCUAUUAGAUGAGCCUAAGUCGGAUUAGCUAGAUGGUGGGGUAAAGGCCUACCAUGGCGACGAUCUGUAGCUGGUCUGAGAGGAUGAUCAUCCACACCGGGACUGAGACACGGCCCGGACUCCUACGGGAGGCAGCAGUGGGGAAUAUUGGACAAUGGGGGAAACCCUGAUCCAGCCAUGCCGCGUGUGUGAAGAAGGCCUUUUGGUUGUAAAGCACUUUAAGCAGUGAAGAAGACUCCGUGGUUAAUACCCACGGACGAUGACAUUAGCUGCAGAAUAAGCACCGGCUAACUCUGUGCCAGCAGCCGCGGUAAUCAGGAGGGUGCAAGCGUUAAUCGGAAUUCUGGGCGUAAAGGGAGCGUAGGUGGCUCAAUAAGUCAGAUGUGAAAUCCCCGGCUCAACCUGGGAACUGCAUCUGAUACUGUUGAGCUAGAGUAUGUGAGAGGAAGGUAGAAUUCCAGGUGUGCGGUGAAAUG
rnacentral:rRNA from 1 species